AAGGUAGGUACAAGGGGAAAGCCUUGACAGGUGGGGGGAAACUGCUGAUCGCAGGGUGGUGGGAAGUCACAUCAGGAGCCGACAUACGCCGGUGACUCUGUGGGCGUCUCUCAAGGGCAUACGCCUGCAUGAGGGCUGGUGUAACUUCAGGUCCCUGCAGACCACUUGGCCAAACAGGAUGGAUGCCAAGGCAGCAGUGCCAUGGACGGAUUAGCUGAACAUUCGGCAGGUUACUUGUCUGAGAGCAACUCUGAUCCCACUGAUGGUGGUAAGUGGUAUAGUGACGACCCCCAUGUGCAGGUGUGUUACUCGGUGUCCUGCGGAAGCGGAGCCAAAGACAAGUUGUGGAGAGCAGGUAGCUUCUUUGGAAGCUGAUAUCAAGCAGCAGAAGUGGGGAAGAGAGGGGAUUAAGAAGGAUAACAACGAAAAUCCAAUAUGAAUAUGUGUUAUUGAGGGACUCCUAUCACAGAAAAGGAAUACGUGUUCUGAACAGAAUGCCCCCCAGAAGGUAACGAGGGCGACGCGUUUAGUCAGAGUCCAUCUCGCAUGGUUUGAGAGCUGCUUCGGGAGAUGCUAACUCUCAGCAUUUCUGGUGCUCUGGCCAGUGGCUCUGGGCAAGCAGUUGGUCAGCACCAUUUUAUUGCCUUUCAGCUCCAAAUUUAUUUUUCUUUGAACUGUUUUAUAGCACUAGAGCUGGAUCCUGUAAACAUGUUAAAUAGUUCUUUCUAUUACAUUUAAAAUAAUCAUGUUAUACUAGUCAAUAAUUAAUCAUGUUAUUGUAAAUAAUUCUUCAUUUUAAAUUCUCCCUGUUCAGAUUACAGUGUUUUCUGUCUCCUAACUGGACCGUCACACACAGCCUCUGACCCCUGUUACACAGCUAUUUACUCGGUGAGUACUUUUUGGCUGAAUCUCACGAUGAGGAGGGACCCAAGGCAGUUCGCCUCUGCAUAACAAGGACAGCAGGGCACUUGUACUGCUGCACAUCAGCUGUGUUAACUUCCCUGAUCUUUUAUCAUAAUGUAGUCCCAAGGGAUCUGGAUUGACCUUGACAUUCUGUGCUGGCCAGGUAGAGGCAUGAUGCUAACUGGAAUUAGAGAGCAGGAAGUGGCAAGUAUACAAAUACCUUAGUAAGAUGCAGGCAUACCAGAAAUGGAGCGAGAAAAAUCAUGACAAUUCACUAACAUUUAUGAAACAUUUAGGGGUCUGAGUCUACAGCAUGAUGGUACACCCCUCUAAGAUAAAGAAUAAACUGCUGCAGCUCACAUUUUCUGCAACUGAAAAGAGGCUGGUAGGCCUCUGGGUUUUAAGGGCACUAUUCACUGAUUACCAGAGGCUCCUGCUGUGAUUUAUGACAGCUGCCCUAAAAGUGCCCCAGUCCUCCUUCUUCCUGGCCUACUCUUGCCUUGUUCCUUUCUCUUCCAGAUUCCUGACUGCCAGCUUUGCGACUUGCCCUCAGAUCAGGCAUUGAAUGCAGUCUCUGGGUUGGAUCUUAGCUUUCCCCAGAGGACUGGCUUGGCUCUGCCUUCAAUGCCCACAGUAAAAACUGUCCACUCCAGCUCCAGCCCCAGGCCAAGGUCCUGGCAAGGCCAGCAGACCCCUGACCUGCAACCUUGUCCAUGUGGGCUGUCUGGAGCUAAGUGCAAUGAAAGAAGGAGUCAAGAACAUGUGAUGGACAGGAGAUUUGGAUAGAUAAGGCAGAAGGGGAAGCCAGAAGAGACAUUCAAGGCAUUAGAAGUGCUCAGCCUGCCAUUGCUAACUUUGGAGAUUGAGGAAGAAGACCAGGACUAGAAGGUGAUGCUAAAUCCCAAGUUUGUGCUCUCUUCCUGGCCCACAAAUUCAGGCUUGAUUUCUGUGCAUGCUCAUUAACUGCCUGCGAAAAUUUGUUCCCACCACUGCUUCUGGGACCAUGCACAAGGAGCCCAGACUCAUAGGAUUCAUUCAAGAAAUUAAGACAGCUCAACCUUAGAAAAUAUUUUUUACCAUCAAAGGUCAAUGGAAAAAAUGAUGUGAUCAGCUUAAUUGGGACCUAAAGGCAUUUGAAGAAACCGAAAAUGACUGCUGAAGAAUUCUGAAGAAAAAUGGAGUCUUCCACAGAAUUUGAAACACCAUGAAGACAAUUCUCAAGAAGACUCAGAAGAUAACCAGAGGCAUGCAUGACAUGAGUGAUUAUCUACACCUCCACAAUGUACAAAGAAUUAUUGAGACCUUGUGACUGACUGGGAAAAGGUAGAAAAGGAAAAAGAAGUAAACUGGUCUCCAGUGCCUGCAGCCGUCCUGCUGAGAGCCGACGACGCGUGUAUGAAAACCACUCCAGCAUGUCAGAGAGCCCCUCCCACGACUCCUUCUAUGAUUCCCUCGCAGACAUGCAGGAAGGAAGCAAGAACGCUGACUUCCUCCCCGAGCUAUCUGCUUUCCUCAGCCAGGAGGAGAUACACAAGCAAUACCCGCAGAGCUAUAGCCAGCUCUGAGACAGAAGACGGGGACUCGGAACAGGAGAUCUCACAGGUUCUCAACGCGGCUCCGGUAAGCCUCUGUGAAAACCCUCCGAGCACGGAGGCCUCGUCAGCAGGGCCUCAGGACUCCAGGCCAGCACCUGUCCAGCCUCCGCCAGAGAAGCCUGGGCCCACGCCUUCACCUGUUCCGAAGAAGACACCUGCCGUGUCGCCCCUGCCGGCCAGGCCCAGUUACAUCUGCAGCCUCCGAAAGGCCGGGAAGCGUGCGGCACAGCCUCCCGGCACCCCGGGACGCGCCGCCAAGUCCGGUCCCCCGGGCCAGCUGUGUGACAGGGCUGCGGACUUCACCGAGCAGCUGACGUCCAUAUUUAGAGAAGCGUCAAAGCCAAGAAACAGAAGCCCCGACGGGGAGUCCUCACCAGACAGCGGGUACCUGUGCCCGAAAACUCAGCCCACAGCCCCGCGG